rnacentral:tRNA from 1 species
GGGCCGGUAGCUCAGUCGGUAGAGCAUCGGACUGAAAAUCCGAGUGUCGGCAGUUCGAUUCUGCCCUGGCCCACCA